UAGAAGUUAGGAAGCAAUGUCAUUUAGGUGUCAAAUUUGGAAGGUUGGUUAAAUAUCAUCUCUUAGUUAUCGUUCCCCUCGACAUUUCAGUCUAGUAGAGAGCUUCCCCUUUACAUGCCAUUUCAAUCUGGCAGGGAGCUUCCCCUUUUCAUUCCAUUUCAAUCUAGUAGGGAGGUUCCCCUUUUCAUUCCAUUUCAAUCUAGUAGGGAGGUUCCCCUUUACAUUCCAUUCCAGCAGGGAGGUUCCCCUUUACAUUCCAUUCCAGCAGGGAGGUUCCCCUUUACAUUCCAUUCCAGCAGGGAGGUUCCCCUUUACAUUCCAUUCCAGCAGGGAGGUUCCCCUUUACAUUCCAUUCCAGCAGGGAGGUUCCCCUUUGCAUUCCAUUCCAGUAGGGAGGUUCCCCUUUACAUUCCAUUCCAGUAGGGAGGUUCCCCUUUACAUUCCAUUCCAGUAGGGAGGUUCCCCUUUACAUUCCAUUCCAGUAGGGAGGUUCCCCUUUACAUUCCAUUCCAGUAGGGAGGUUCCCCUUUACAUUCCAUUCCAGUAGGGAGGUUCCCCUUUACAUUCCAUUCCAGUAGGGAGGUUCCCCUUUACAUUCCAUUCCAGUAGGGAGGUUCCCCUUUACAUUCCAUUCCAGUAGGGAGGUUCCCCUUUACAUUCCAUUCCAGUAGGGAGGU